GGGGGCAUAGCUCAGUUGGGAGAGCAGCAGACUGAAGGUGUGUCAGGAUUGGCAGUGAUUUCUGAAGGUCCCGCGUUCAAUCCGCGGUGCCCCCA